CCAUUUAGGGGGGGGGGGGGAGGGAGCUGCGAAAGAAGGUGCAGCCAUUACAAUACAAGGUCCGCUCUUGGCUACUGAACACCGCAUCCUCUCAAAGGGUAUCUGAAUUCAAAAUGUCUCUCUCCUAUUCCUCCUCUUACCUCUUAUCUUCUUCUGCUGCUGCUGCUGUUUCCGCUCGUUUCGAACCUCCCUUUCUGGGAUUCAAGGGUACAUCAUGUUUUGUUGAGAAGAACAAUUGCUGUUUAGGUGUUAAGCCAUUUUGUGCAUCUCAGAAGACAGGGUCCAAAAUCUCCUGUGGUAUGAAUAUGUCUGCACAUCAAUCAGAUGAUCAUAGGAAAAUGAAACUGGAAGAGUUGUUGGACAAAGCACGAACACUCUGGGACACUUCUCCUGAGCCUGUGAAGAAUUUCCCGUGGAACAGAGCAUUGGACAACUUCAUUCAACUCAUUCUUGAUCUUACUUUGGCUGUUGUCAAGUACCUAUCUGUACCUUUAUUUGCAGUUACCUCCAUCAGUGAGUUAUCCUACUGUGCACAUGAAAGGAAGCUAGUUCUCGUUCCUCUUCCGGUUCUCUUUGGAGUUGCUAUUGCUGGGAUCCUUAAAGAGACUGCCUUAGAUUUAUCUCCACGCCUGAGGGAUGCAGAAGUUCCAUGGCAUUUAAUUGCAGUGGCCAUUUUCUUCACAAUGAUUAAAUUGCCUGGCCCAUAUUACCCUUAUUGGGGACGUAUAUUUAUUCCUCACUUUGCAAAUGGGGUUCUGUUGAGGACUUUAUGGUUUGCAAUCUUGUGGUAUAGAAGACCAAAAGCUUUGAAGAUGUCAGAUUCAAAAGAAGAUAGUUAGUGUAACGUUACCAGCCUGCAAAGUCAUUUUCAUUAGGAUGAGCGUGGAUGAAGCAUCACGGCAUAAGUGGUGGGGGGACGACAAACAAAGGGCACCAUCGACAAACACCUAUUCUACGAACUUUCCAGCCCUAGCAAUGAAGGACCAUUAGUCCAUUACCUUACUUAGCCAAAAUGAAGCAAAUGUUUUUAUUUGCGAAGACCUGUUGGAGAAUUAAGCAACUCCUUUGAGAUUUUAUUGAAACUUUGUUGAGAAAAGAUGCAGACUGCUAUGUUUGGUUACUGUAGUUUGUCUUGGAAAUGGAAGAUUUGGCUGUGUUGAAUGACCCUGAUAAUAGAUGGGUAAGCAUUAGAAGCAUAUAGAUAAACUGUACUCGAGAAAUGGAUGUUAGUUUUGACUCAUCUUUUGUACAAGAAAAGUUUUCCCUCUUAUCAUGCUUUUCGAACCUGUGGUUGGAGAAGGGGCUAGUCUGGCUUCACAUUUGAGUAUGUACACAAUUUUGAACUUAAAUAAUAGAUUAGGGACUCAUGUUCAAACUGCCCUUCUAGUAAGAUUCGUGUACAACAUUGAUACUUAUAAGCAUCUGUUCUUUCAAAAUAGAAAAUUGGCUAAUGGAUGAUAAGAUGUAUUAUGUGUGUUAGGGUUGGACAUCCCUAACACCCAAACAGGGACAUAAUUGUCAUUUUCUGAAUUAAAAUACUUUUUCCUUUA